UUCAGCCUAUGUCGCAGUAAUAAUUCUGUGUGUUUGCGUAUUCCGUCGCACCUCGACGCAACUGGAGGAGUGCAACACAUAUUCUUACGCUCAUUCCAUUGUUUAUCCUAUUGCACAUUAUCUGAAUUGAUCUUUGCUUUGUGAUGAAUAAAAUUGAUUUGUUUUCA